GACCCAUAGUACCCCAUUCCUUGCUGCAAUGUAAUUAUAUUUAAUUACAAGUGUGCCCCUGGUAGUCUUUAACUGAAGGGCACUGACUGGGUCACUGGUGAAGUUCCCCGCAGGAACUGAGUCAGACCCCAUCUCAGGGCCCUGCACAAGAUAGGUGCCUGCUCUAAGGCGUGGACCCUCGCCACAGCCCUGGCCCGUCUUGACGGGCGAGGGUUACUGUACUUGUCCCAACCGUACAGAUGAGAAAGCUGAGACUCAGGGCCAGCAACCCGGGUCCCAGCGGAGCGCCCGGCACACGCCGACACUUCAGCACCAGUGGCGGUGGCCACCACUGUGGGCGGAGAUGGCUGCGACGCGUGCGCAGGUAAAGUCUAUGCGCGCCUUGCCUCCCACCGGCGCCUUCCCCGGCCUCUGGUUUUUGUCCCCGCCAGCGGCUCCGACUCCAUCGCGUCCUCUUCCAGUCUAGUGCUUUUUUCCAGAUCUCGAUCCCAAACUCCCUCCUGCCAGAAUCUGGACCCGAAUCCACCCAUUGCCCGUUUUCCGCUGCCGCUGGAGAGAAUCUCUGAGGUCCCCAGGAGAGCCUGCCUGCACGGAAGAGACGCCUCCUCGGCAGCAGUAGGGCUUAUGGGAGCCAUUGUACAGUGACAGGAACAUACCAGGACACUGAGAAUAGCGUCAUGUCAUAAGGACUCAGAGCAGGUGGACCCUGCUGUGAUGCACAAAGGUGAGGGUGCAGCUGCCCAGGACACACUCAUGCAUGUUUGUGUGGACCAUGGAAGAUGGCAGGGGAAGAGCUGUCAGGUUGCUGGGGCAGAGGGUGCGCAUGAGUACUCGCCUAGGACCAUGCAAGAUAUGAUAAAGAUCUAUGUCACUGAAUUUUGUUUCUGUAUUUGUAUCUCAGCUUCCCAGAAAUAAAAAAGAAUUCUAACAUUCA
rnacentral:lncRNA from 1 species